UGCGUAGACGGUUAUUUAAGUCGGGUGUGAAAGCCCCGGGCUCAACCUGGGAAUUGCAUUCGAGACUGAAUAGCUAGGGUACGGUAGAGGGAAGCGGAAUUUCCGGUGUAGCGGUGAAAUGCGUAGAUAUCGGAAGGAACAUCAGUGGCGAAAGCGGCUUCCUGGACCAGUACCGACGUUCAGGCACGAAAGCGUGGGGAGCAAACAAG
rnacentral:rRNA from 1 species